rnacentral:rRNA from 1 species
GUGAGGAAUAUUGGACAAUGGAGGCAACUCUGAUCCAGCCAUGCCGCGUGCAGGAAGACUGCCCUAUGGGUUGUAAACUGCUUUUAUACAGGAAGAAAUGUACCUACGUGUAGGUAUUUGACGGUACUGUACGAAUAAGGAUCGGCUAACUCCGUGCCAGCAGCCGCGGUAAUACGGAGGGUCCGAGCGUUAUCCGGAAUUAUUGGGUUUAAAGGGUCCGUAGGCGGAUGAUUAAGUCAGGGGUGAAAGUUUGCAGCUCAACUGUAAAAUUGCCUUUGAUACUGGUUAUCUUGAGUUGUAUUGAAGUAGGCGGAAUAUGUAGUGUAGCGGUGAAAUGCAUAGAUAUUACAUAGAACACCAAUUGCGAAGGCAGCUUACUAAGUACUAACUGACGCUGAUGGACGAAAGCGUGGGGAGCAAACAGGAUUAGAAACCCUAGUAGUCC